rnacentral:rRNA from 1 species
UAAGGAAUAUUGGUCAAUGGACGCAAGUCUGAACCAGCCAUGCCGCGUGGAGGAUUAAGGCCCUCUGGGUUGCAAACUCCUUUUAUCUGGGAAGAAAUGUACUUUUUCUUGAGUACUUGACGGUACCAGAGGAAUAAGCACCGGCUAACUCCGUGCCAGCAGCCGCGGUAAUACGGAGGGUGCAAGCGUUAUCCGGAUUCACUGGGUUUAAAGGGUGCGUAGGUGGGCAGGUAAGUCAGUGGUGAAAUCUCCGGGCUUAACCCGGAAACUGCCGUUGAUACUAUUUGUCUUGAAUAUUGUGGAGGUAAGCGGAAUAUGUCAUGUAGCGGUGAAAUGCUUAGAUAUGACAUAGAACACCAAUUGCGAAGGCAGCUUACUACACAAUCAUUGACGCUGAGGCACGAAAGCGUGGGGAUCAAACA